CCUGCCGAAUGAAUUAGCCCUGAAAAUGGAUGGCGCUGAAGCGUGUAGCCGAUACUAUGCCGUCUGUGCAAUAUAUGCUUUCAGAUGAGUAGGAGGAACGUAGCGGUUGUAUAGAAGCGUAUGCGCGAGCAUGCGUGGAACGGCCGCUAGUGCAGAUCUUGGUGGUAGUAGCAAAUAUUCAAAUGAAAACCUUGAAGGGCGAAGCGGGGAAGGGUUCCACGCGAACAUUGAUUGAGUGUGGGUGAGUCGUCCCUAAGCCGAGUGGCCGAUCCUGAACACCGGCGAAAGGGAAGCAGGUUGAUAUUCCUGCACACGGAUGUGGAAGCGGUGACGCUAGACUGUGGCGGUGAAGCCGUCGGUUGCACUGGGCAGAGAUUUCUUUUCUGUUUGACGAAGUCUGAUGUACUCUAUGGAAUCCGCUUGUCGGGAGAAAUAGGUAUGUCACGGCAAAGCGCCGGGAUUUUUCUGGCGUCCAGCUCGCGACUGGUGGACCUUGAAAAGCUGUCUGCAGGCCGUGAAUUAUAUUUAUUUAUAAUUUGCGGUGAGAAAAAACCACGCCGUAACGUACCGAUAACCGCAUCAGGUCCCCAAGGUGAACAGCCUCUGCUCGAUAUGAUUAAUGUAGGUAAGGGAAGUCGGCAAAUUAGACCCGUAACUUUGGGAAAAGGGUUGGCUCUAGUGCUGCGUAGGAGUGGUUUCUGGGGUGUGGCGAAGGGCGGUGGGGAGAGAAGGUGUUUUAUUUUCCCUUUGUGUUAUUUUGCCUGGGUGGUGUGAAAGCUGGCCUCUUUCGGGGGGUUUGGUGGAAGUGCCUCACGGGUGGAUGCGCACAGGGGGGGAUGGGGCGCCCUUUUUUCCCGCUUUCCUUUUGUUGCUCCUGGAGACGCCUACAGCAUGCAGCAAACUAGAACUGCAACGGACAAAGGGAAUCCGACUGUUUAAUUAAAACAAAGCAUU
rnacentral:rRNA from 1 species